GGGAGUAUAGCUCAGUGGAAGAGUACAUACUUCGUGUGCAUGAGGUCCUGGAUUCAAUCCCCAGUACCUCCU
rnacentral:tRNA from 1 species